UACAGAGGUCCCAAGCGUUGUUCGGAUUCACUGGGCGUAAAGGGUGCGUAGGUGGUGAGGUAAGUCGGAUGUGAAAUCUCCGGGCUCAACCCGGGAAAUGGCAUUGGAAACUACCUUGCUUGAGGGUUUGAGGGGGGAUUGGAAUGACUUGGUGUAGCAGUGAAAUGCGUAGAGAUGUGGAGGAAUACCGAUGGCGAAGGCAGCCUCCUGGGCCGAACACUGACGCUCAUGCACGAAAGCGUGGGGAGCAAACAGG
rnacentral:rRNA from 1 species